AUGCAGGAUGGCAGUGCAUUUAGCCCUUGGUGUGACCAGGGGUGUCUUUUCUUUACACUUUUCUUUCCAGUCGCUUUGCUUUGUUGGAGAAGGUUUCAACAAAUGUGCAUGUGUCCAGAAAGUGUUCACCAUGGGGGUCUCUCCAGGUACAGAGGGGACAGCUACUGUAGUUAUCGGGGCCUUUUGGUCAUCAGGGAGAUAAGCAGAUGCAGGGCGUUACUGCAGGCUGGAAAGACGUACCGACCCUUUAAGAUUUAUGAAGCCCGAAUCUGUUUUAUGAAGCCUGAGAAGCUCACAAGCAGAAAACCUGGAGAGACACACCUGUGACUCAGAAAUACGGAGAUGCGGCAGAAAUCAAGUGUUUUACCACCACCCAGUGGGGAGCACCGGAAAAGCCCUGAAUCGGGGGCUGCUAAAAGGAUCACUCCAGCUCCCAUCCCAUAGACGCAGGGAUCUAUUCACCCCUCUGAAGGUAUGUAAAACUCCUGUUAAUGUUGAUGGCAAAUACAGACAUGCACCCAGAAAAUAAUGGGGAUCGUAUAUAAAAAUAAGUUGCCCACAAAUUGUUUUCGUGAUCAGUAACUGACGGUGCAAGUUUUAACAGAAUCACAGAAUAGCUGAGGCUGGAAAGGACCUCUGAAGAUCAUCUAGUCCAAGGCCCCUGCCAAGCAGGAUCACCCAGAGCACACUGUGAAGGGUAGCAUCCAGGAGGGUUUUGAAUAUCUCCAGAGAAGGAGACUCCACAACCUCCCUGGGCAAACAGUUCCAGUGCUCUGUCACCCCCACAGUAAAGAAGCACCCCCUCAUAUUCAGCCAGAACCUCCCGUGCUUCAGUUUGUGCCUGUUUCCUCUUGUCCUGUUGCUGUGCACAACUGGAAAGACCGGCUCCAUCCUCUCUACAUCCUCCCCUCAGAUAUUUAUACACAUUGAUGAGGUCUUCCCUCAAUCUCGUCUUUUGCAGACUAAACGGGUCCAGCUCUCUCAGCCUGUCCUCGUAUGACAGGUGCUCCAGUCCCCUCAUCAUCUUCACAGCCCUCCUCUGAACUCACUCCAGUAUCUCCAUGCCCCGUUGUACUGGGGAACCCAAAACUGGACACAGUACUCCAGGUGUGGCCUCACCAGGGCUGAGCAGAGGGGGAGGAUCACCUCCCUUGACCUGCUGGCAACACUCUUCCGAACUCACCCCAGAAUACUGUUGGCCUUCUUGGCCACUAGGGCACAUUACUGGCUCAUGGUAAGCCUGCUGUCCACCAGGACUCCCAGGUUGCUCCCUGCAGAGAUGCUCUCCAGCAGGCCAGUCCCCAUCCUGUUGUGGUGCUUGGGGUUA
rnacentral:lncRNA from 1 species